UAAAUAAACUGAUGGAAGUGGGCAUCCCGAUUCUUUAUCGGGAUAAAACGAACAGCAGGACUAUCG
rnacentral:sRNA from 1 species